GACGAACGCUGGCGGCGUGCUUAACACAUGCAAGUCGAACGGAAAGGCCCUGCUUUUGUUCUUUGCUCGAGUGUCGCACGGGUGAGCAACACGUGAGUAACCUCCCCUUGACUUUGGGAUAACUUCAUUAAACUCGGUCUCAUACCCGAUAGGAGCUCCUGCUGCAUGUUGUGGGUUGUAAAGUUUCGGCGGUUGGGGAUGGCCUCGCGGCUUAUCAGCUUGUUGGUGGGGUAGUGGCUUACCAAGGCUUUGACGGGUAGCUGGACUGGGAGGGUGACCGGGCACAUAGGGACUGAGGUACGGGCAAGAGGGAAACGGGAGGAAUGGGUGGAAGACAGAGCGAGAAGGGCGGAAGCAGGGAGGAAGAACGCCGGAUCGGGGAGGACUGCCGUAGGGUUGGAAACAGCGUGAGCCUGUGAAGAAGAGUGAGUGACGGUAAUGGAUAAAGAAGCAACGGCUAACUACGUG
rnacentral:rRNA from 1 species